UGCGGCGCCAGGCGCGAGGGUGACGGGCCCCUGGGUGCGGAGCCGGCUGCGGGGGGGCCGUCCCGGUGCCCGGGUGCUGCGCCCCCAGUGGGUGGCGGCACCGGGGAGGGCGGGGGGGGUCAAUCGUUCCGGGCGGCCGCGGAUCCCUCAGCGGCGACGGGGCCGUGGGUGUGAGAAGGAAACGGCACCGACCCGCCCCUGGCACCGCGACCCUCUAAAAGCCUCGGGGCCGCCCCAGCGGGACCAUGCCCCCCCCGGCCGCCCGUGCCCCCGGCGACUGAGCGGGGCCGGUGUCGGCAGCGGGGGCCGGUGGCCAGGAUGCCCCGGCGGAGCCCGCUCGCCCUUGGCCUGCUCGGCCUCGCCGCCUGCCUGCUGACCGCACCGGCGCUGGGCUGCGGGCCGGGCCGGGGGCCGGUGGGGCGGCGGCGGCUGGGGCGGAGGCAGCUCUCGCCGCUGCUCUACAAGCAGUUCGUGCCCAACGUGCCCGAGCAGACGCUGGGGGCGAGCGGGAAGGCGGAGGGCAAAGUGCUGCGGGGCUCGGAGCGCUUCAGGGACCUGGUGCCCAACUACAACCCCGACAUCAUCUUCAAGGACGAGGAGAAUACGGGCGCGGACCGGCUCAUGACCGAGCGCUGCAAGGAGCGGGUGAACUCUUUGGCCAUCGCAGUGAUGAACAUGUGGCCUGGGGUGAAGCUGCGGGUGACAGAGGGCUGGGAUGAGGACGGGCACCACCUCCCUGACUCCCUGCACUACGAGGGCCGUGCACUGGACAUCACCACAUCCGACCGGGACCGGCACAAGUAUGGCAUGCUGGCACGCCUGGCCGUGGAAGCCGGCUUCGACUGGGUCUACUAUGAGUCCAAGGCGCACAUCCACGUCUCUGUUAGAGCAGAUAACUCGCUGGCCAUCCGCACCGGCGGCUGCUUCCCAGGCCACGCCACCGUGACGCUGCAGAGCGGCGAGCGCCGAGGCUUGGCCGACCUGCGCCAGGGCGACUGGAUCCUGGGUGCGGAGCCGGGUGGGCGCCUGGUGCCCACCGAGGUUCUGCUCUUCCUUGACCGUGAUCUGGACCAACGUGCCUCCUUUGUGGCCAUCGAAACGGCCAGCCCUGCGCGCCGGCUGCUCCUCACCCCAUCCCACCUCAUUUUCGCGGCCCGGGGGUCGGCCAACGCCACCUUCCUGCCCGUCUUUGCCCGCCGUGUGCGCCCUGGGGACGCGGUGCUGGCCCAUGGGGCUGGUGGGCAGGGUCUGCGCCCUGCGCGGGUGCUGCGGGUCUCAAGGGAGGAUGGCGUUGGGGUCUUUGCCCCGCUCACCUCCCACGGGACCCUGCUGGUCAAUGGGGUGCUGGCAUCCUGCUACGCCGUCCUGGAGAGCCACCGCUGGGCCCAUUGCGCCUUCGCCCCGCUCCGCCUCUUCCACGGGCUCCUCUCGUUGCUGCCGGUGUGCGCCGAGGCUGGGAACGGGACGGUGCCAGAGGCCGGGAUGCACUGGUACUCCCGCCUGCUCUACCGCCUGGCUGGGGGAGUGCUGGGCCACGAGGCCCUGCAGGUAUAGGGGGUCCCAGCCCCCCGCAGUCACUGCACUGCAGAUCACGCUGCACACUGGAAAUGGGGGGCUCCAGCCCUGGCCCUCCUUUGAACCCAGGGAGGAGGGAUAGGGGUACCCCCGGCCCUGUGCGGAGGUUGGGGUGCCCUCAGCUCAGCUGAGGACAGGGUCUCUGGGAUGGGGUGUUAUGGGGUGGCCCAAGGACCUGGCCUCAAGCCGUCUCCUGUGUCCCAGAGCGCCCCUGCAGCACUGCCUGGUCCCUGAACACAGGACUCUGUGUGCUCUCCUGCUAUUUAUUACUUUAUUAACCACUAUGGCUGGGGCUGCUGCCUGUCAAGCCCAGGCUGGGCACCAACCAGACCCUGCCCCAGGGCUGGAUCCAGCCCAGGGGAUGCCAAAUCCAGUCUGGGGGAUGCCGAAUCCAGUCUGGGGGAUGCCGGAUCCACCUGGGGGGUGCCGGGCCCGGCUCUAACCGUGCUAACCGCUAACUCGCUCUGCUUGAGAGGUCUAUUUUUCUAUUUAUAAAUGGUAAUAUAAGCGCUCCCGCCCGCGCUGCGGGGCAGGGCCCAGCCUGCUCCUAACCACGACUGUGUCAGAAACAGAGAACCCUGCUAUUUAAUUAUUUGGGCAAAACCUCCUUGGCCCAUCAAUUCCUGGAGGGGAAGUUCGUGGAGUGCUACGAGCCCACGGUGGAGAGCA